AUUCUACUCCCUCCAUUGCACAAUACAUGCCUUCUAUUUGUCAAAAUAUAUAUGUAUCUAGACAUGUCUUACUAUAUAGGUACAUCCAUUUUUGGACAAAUGGAAGUCAAGUAUUUUGGAACGGAGGGAGUACACA
rnacentral:pre_miRNA from 1 species